UCCCUGGUGGUCUAGUGGCUAAGGAUUCUGUGCUCUCACCACCGUGGCAUGGUUCAAAUUCUCGGGAA